AAAAAAAUUAAUUAUUUUUAAUGGAGUCCUGGGGGAUUGAACCCAGGAUCUCGAGCGUGCUAAGCACACGCCUUACCAAGACCUCUUGAUGAUAAAGAAGCCAAAGUAAAAUGCUCCUUUUUCAAUCAGAGUCCAUAAUUUUAGGGAAGAAGACGAUUACUUGGAGGUAGUUUAUAGUAACGAUAUUUAUAGUUGACUCACCUUUAGGGAAAUCCCAUGCCUUUGAAGCUACUCCAUGAAAAAAACUAAAAUGAUUUCAUAAGUUUGGGAAACCAACCCUUCCCUUCCUUAUGGAGCGUCAUUGACAUCUGAAGGGUGUUCUGAGAACUUCUACAGCAAAGAACCCUGGAAAGACUUCAGGCUAAACAAACAAACAAACAAGUGUCUAAUGGCCUGGCAAGAAGCAUAUAAGGUGGUUUCCAACACAGUGAGAUUAUAAGGAAGCUGCCUGAAGCUCUCUCCCUGCUCAGGAUUGUGAAUCUCACAGAUCUGCCAGAGUGCCCACAAAUCCCACCAUUAGAGAUGCACUCCUUUGCAUCGAGGGCAGACAAGUGUUCCCUAGGACCACGCAAUGCCAUGGCUCAACCUAGCAGGAGACAGCCAACAAGAAGCACCCACAGUCUCCAUUGUGGGGGAGUGGAUGCACUACUGUGGCAUGGAACCUGGAAGUGAGAAUAGGAUGCGAGCUGGGACCACAGACAAAGUGGCACUGCCCGGGUGUCACUCAGAAGACUACAAGAAGAAUGUUGGAGCUAGGUGUCAAGAAAAGGUCCAUGGGAAAGAGGACUUGUUACUGAUGGGAAGUCAGGUGGAGAACGCUAACCUGUAGUGCCUUGAACGUAUUACCAUUGACUGAAUGACUAAACAAGCAGAGGUUAGAAGGGCCCUUAGUAGGACUGAGGACUUUCUGAGCCUCCUGUUAUUUCAGACUAAGGUGCUGAUGGAAUCGGCCCUGUCUGCAAAGCCCAGGGAGACUUCUAGGGGUGAUAGUCUCAGCUCUGGGUGUGGUAAGGAUUUAACAAAGAAGAAAAUUUGGACAGCAACUCAAAAGAGUGGAUAUCAGAUCCACACUUUCUAGUAGAUAAGGACAUGCCCACCUUAAGCAAAGCAGGUGUCAUAGUCUCAAAUGGCGGUAUGUCUAAGUGGAAAUCAGCGCAGGUCAUCUUUGCAGAUAUAUUUAAUCUAACGGAGGCGUUGGAGGCUGGGAGAGUGUAGGGUCUGAGAUACAAUCCUGUCUUACAGCAGCUCAGAGGCUUUGUUCCUGCCAGCGAGCUCAGUCGUUAGGAGUCCAAAUGCAGGGUGCAAAGCCAUUGGUGGCUGUGGACUUCAAGUUCAGAGCAGGACCGAUUUUUAUCAUGGUUCUUAGAUGAAGUUCAAGAUAAGGCCCCCCAAACUUCUCCUUUCCCUGGGAACAAUGCAGAAACUCUAUUUACUCCCUGGGUUACUUUAAUGCUGGGUGAUUCAAAUAUUCAUUUCUGUCUUCCUUUAGUCAAGCCAAAUUUUUCAUGUGCUUAGCCAAAAGCUAUUGGAAAAUCAGGAUGAUAGCCAGGUUCAGAGUAAUUUCUAAAAUACAAGACAAAGUAGAAAAAGAAUUAGACUGCUCUUUGAACAUAAAAACAAGUAACAUUACCAAUGCAGGUUCAAAGCCAGCCUCAUAAAGAAAGAAGUAUAAUUGUAAAUUUUAAUAGCUGCAACUGAACUACAUUUUGCAUGGAUUUGUAAAGCAGCCUGUGCAAAAAGGGAGAUUAUGAGUCACGAGCAUGACUGUGUCAAUCUCUGAGUCACACGUCAGUUUCUGAAAUUGAUCUUGAGUGUAUUCACUCUGGUAUGAGCCUCGUCCUAAAGAGAGGGAUUCUUUUGGAGCUGUUCUAACUAGGGUGUCCUCUUGAGCAGGGCACUGAAAAAUCCUCUGUCAUUUGCCAUGGUGAUGGCAGUACGUGCAGUUCAUCCUGUGUCACAAAAAUCAGGUCAUCUCUCGCUGGGUUGGUGAAGUGCUACGGGUGGAGGGGAGGAAAAUCAGUGAGGAGAUUGUCUGGUGAAACUGCUGAACAGCUCCUUGAUUUUAACGUGUGUUACACGCUCCUGAAAUUUCUUUGGAGGAAAGAACACCUGCAGAAUAUCGACAAUUUUUGAAGCUUGAUGGUAGAUAAAGGGGGUUAAUUAUAUGAUCUUUACUUUUGUUUAAAAUUUUCUAUUAUAAAAGCUAAAAUACUGCUCCAAAGCAUUCCUAGGAAAUCUUUUUUCUUUUUUCUUUUUUUUU